rnacentral:rRNA from 1 species
UACGGAGGGUGCGAGCGUUGUCCGGAAUCACUGGGCGUAAAGGGCGCGUAGGUGGCGCAGGAAGUCAACGGUGAAAGCCCAGGGCUCAACCUUGGAAUUGCCUUUGAUACUGGCUAUCUUGAGUUCGGGAGAGGUGAGUGGAAUGCCGAGUGUAGAGGUGAAAUUCGUAGAUAUUCGGCGGAACACCAGUGGCGAAGGCGACUCACUGGCCCGAUACUGACGCUGAGGCGCGAAAGCGUGGGGAGCAAACAGG